AUUGCAGGUACAGAGAUGAGAAGUGGGAGUCCCCUGAGCAAAGUCUCUGCAGCUGCCUCUUCAGCAAAGAAGAAAAUGAAUUCACUGGUGAAGGCUUUGCUUUGUCUGGCUGAACGGCGUGGUCUUGAGCACCUUGCGUAUUCCUGCCGUGUUCCCCUUUCUUUGGACAGAGGCAGUCUCACCCUGAAAGCAAGCACGGUUAACAUCACAGUAAGAGCUCGGAAUGGCAAUGUUCUCACUGGAUAAGUUAACUAUAACGGCUUCCAUAAAUAACUUUUUAAUUAAA